UACGGAGGGUGCGAGCGUUGUCCGGAAUCACUGGGCGUAAAGGGCGCGUAGGUGGCGCGGGCAGUCAACGGUGAAAGUUCGGGGCUCAACCCCGAGUCGGCCGUCGAUACUCCCGGGCUUGAGCACUGUAGAGGCUAAUGGAAUUCCGGGUGUAGCGGUGGAAUGCGUAGAGAUCCGGAAGAACACCGGUGGCGAAGGCGGUUAGCUGGGCAGUUGCUGACACUGAGGCGCGACAGCGUGGGGAGCAAACAGG
rnacentral:rRNA from 1 species